ACUGCUGAGCCAUCUCUCCAGCCCCAAAAUACAUAUAUUUUAAAAAUCAAUUAAAAGAAUAAAAUUUCAGGGCUGGAGAGAUGGCUCAGUGGU
rnacentral:pre_miRNA from 1 species